CCAAAAUCUUGUCUUGAACCAUAGUUCCCAUAAUCCCCACAUGUCAUGGAAGGGACCAAAUGGGAGGUAAUUGAAUAUUGGGUGUGUUUACCUCCAUGAUGUUCUUGUGAUAGUGAGUGAGUUCUCAUGAGAUCUGAUAGUUUUAUAAGGAGUUAUCCCCCACUUCACUCUGCGCUUCUCUUUGCUGCCACUAUGUGAAGAAGGACAUGUUUGCUUCCACUUCCACCAUGAUUGCAAGUAUCCUGAGGCCUCCACAGCCCUGUGGAACUAUGAAGUCUUGCUCUGUCGCCCAGGCUGGAGUGCUGUGGUGCAAUCUCAGCUCACUGCAACCUCCACCUCCCAGGUUUGAGCAAUUCUCCUGCCUCAGCCUUCUGAGUAGCUGGAAUUACAGGAGCACGUCACCAUGCCCGGCUACUUUUUGUAGUUUUAGUAGAGACGGGUUUUCCCCAUGAUGGUCAGGCUGGUCUCGAACUCCUGACUUUGUGUUCUGCCCUCCUCGGCCUCCCAAAGUGCUGGGAUUACAGGCGUGACCCACUGUGCCCGGCAAAUAUUACUGAAUUUAAGCCAAAGCCAAAGAAAAUAUUACCUGAAAUAAUUUAAGCUCAUAAGAAAUAAAUAUGAUUGUGUGGCCAAGAUAGCCAACUAGAAGCAGCUAGUGUGCACCACGGUCACAAAGAGGAAUGAACGGGACAAGUAAAUCCAGCACCUUCAACUGGAACAUCCAGGUACACGCAUUGGGACUAAUCAAGGAAACAACUAGAUCCAUGGAGAAUGGAGAAAAGUAAGGCAGGACAACAGCCCACUGGGGAGUGACAUGGCGCUGGGGAACCUCCCCCAACAAGGGAAGCAGCGAGUGAAUGUGUGACCUAUGAAUACACCUACCCAGGGAGGUAAAAGUUCUCUACAAGGAGAACUGCAAAACACUGCUUAGAGAAAAUAGAGAAGACACAAACAAAUGGAAAAACAUCCCAUUGUCAUAGAUGGGAAGAAUCAAUAUUGUUAAAAUGGCUAUACUGCCCAGAGCAAUUGAUAGAUUCAAUGCUAUUCCUAUCAAACUACCAAUGACAUUCUUCACAAAACUAAACAAACAAAAAAACAAAAAAAAUUUUAAAUUUAUACAGAACCCAAAAACAACUCAAAUAGCCAAGGCAAUCCUAAACAAAAAUAACAAAGCUGACUUCAAACUACACAACUUUCUUCACAGAACUAAACAAGCAAACAAACAAAUAAAACUAUUGUAAAAUUCAUAUGGAACCCAAAAAUAACUCAAAUAGCCAAGACAAUCCUAAACAAAAAAUAACUAAACUGACUUAGAACUAUACUACAGGGUGACAGCAACAAAAACAGCAUGGUACUGGUACAAAAACAGGCAUAUAGACAAAUGGAACACAAUAAAGAGGCCAGAAAUAAGGCUGCACACCUGUUACCAUCAGAUCCUCGACAAAGAUGACAAAACAAUGGGCAAAGGACUCCUUAUUCAAUAAAUGGUGCAGGGAUAACUGGGUAGCCCUAAGCAGAAGAUUCAAGCUGGAUCCUUCCUUACACCAUAUACAAAGGUCAACUCAAGAUGGAUUAAAGACAAAAAUGCAAAGCCCAAAACUAUAAAAAUCUUGAAAGACAACCUAGGUAAUACUAUCCUGUAAAUAGAAGUGGGCAAAGAUUUCAUAACAAAGACACCAAAAGCAAUUGCAACAAAAGCAAAAAUUGACAAAUGGGGUCUAAUUAAACUUAAGAGCUUCUGUGAAGCAAAAGAAACUAUCAACAGAGUAAGGAGACAAUCUACAGAAUUGCAAAACAUAUUUACAAACUAUGCAUCCGACAAAGGUUUAAUAUCCAGCGUAUUUAAGGAACUUAAGCAAAUUUACAAAAGAAAAACAACUCCAUUAAAAAGUGAUAAAAAAACAUGAACAGACACGUUUCAAAAGAAGACAUACGUGCAGCCAAUACGAAUAUGAGAAAAAGCUCAAUAUCACUGAGCACUAGAGAAAUGUAAAUCGAAACCACAACGAGAUAAUAGCUCACACCAGUCAGAAUGGCUAUUACUAAAAAGUCAAAAAAUAACAGGUGUUGGCAAAGUUGUGAAGAAAAGGGAACAUUUAUACACUGCUGAUGGGAGUGUAAAUUAGUUCAAGCAUUGUGGAAAGCAAUCUGGCAAUUCCUCAAAGAGCUGAAAGCAGAACUACCAUUUUACCCAGCAAUCCCAUUACUGGGUUUAUAAUCAGAGGAAUAUAAAGCAUUCCACCAUAAAGACACGGGCACAUGAGUGUUCACUGCAGCACUAUUCACUAUAGCAAAGACAUGGAGUCAACCUAAAUGCCUAUCAAUGACAGGUCGGAUAAAGAAAAUAUGACACAUAUACACCAUGAAAUGCGAUGCAGCCAUAAAAAAAAGAAUAAAAUCUUUUUUUGUGGGAACAUGGAUGGAGCUGGAGGCCAUUAUCCUUAGCAAACUAACACAGGACGAGAAAUUCAAGUAACACAUGUUCUCACUUAUAAGUGGGAGGUGAAUGAUGAGAACUCAUGAAUACAAAGAAGAGAACAAAAGACACUGGGGUAUACUUGAAGGUGGAGGGUGGGAGGAGGGAGAGGAUCAGGAAAAGUAACUAUCAAGUAAUAGGCUUAAUACCUGGGUGACAAAAUAAUCUCUACAACAAAUCCCUGUGACAUGAGUUUACCUAAAAUUACAAACCUUCACAUGUACCCACGAACCUAAAAUAAAAGUUAAAAAAAGAAAAGACAUAUGAUUAUGUGCCUGCAUAUCCUACAUAUAAGAGUUAUUUAUGAAGAAAAACGUUUGAUGAGUGUGAUAAAUUGGUGUGCUAGUUAUAAGCAGUGUGGCCCAUUAAUAAUUAAAAUGUUAGCUGAAUUCAAUAUAUGUGUGUAUAUCUGUGUAUAUUCAAGAGACUACACACUAUUCUCACUUGUAUUAUGUCAACUCGAAAUUAUAACAGAAAAUCUUUCCUUCCCUUCACAUUAAUUAGGAUGGAACUGCAUGGAAGAAAAUUAGGAAAAAAAAUAUUAUUAUGGAAACAUGUCCAAGAGUCA
rnacentral:lncRNA from 10 species